UUUUUUGGGGGGGGGUAAGGGGGGUUGGGCAGAAUUUGCCUUGGUUCUGUUAAAGAACCAGCUGAUAGAAGGUAUUUCAAGUGAAGAGCUUCAGUCAAUACAAAUCUGAAAGCAGUGACAUCAUUUUCUGACCUGAGUUCGUCUUUUAGUCAUGGUAGAAAGGUUAGUCUCCGUACAACAUUUGAAAAUAAAAUGAUUUUCCUUCCCAGUAUAUUUAUUACCAACUACAUUUCACUUUAUUCCCAAAUCUUCUGGCCAGUUUCACCUCCUCUAGUGGUCUGUCAGAACCCUAUCCUCCAGAAAAAGAUACAAGUGCUCCUCCCUUAUGUGAUUCUAAUGCUCCUGGAAUUAUUUGAAAAGAUUUCAAAAUUUUACAAGGGGAAUCUUUUUAAAAAUGUCUCAGAUUAUUAUAAUUGGACUUCCCUGGUGGCGCAGUGGUUAAGAAUCCGCCUGCCAAUGCAGGGAACACGGGUUUGAGCCCUGGUCCAGGAAGAUCCCACAUACCGCAGAGCAGCUAAGCCCCUGCACCACAACUACUGAACCUGCGCUCUAGAACUCGCGAGCCACAACUAUUGAGCCCGUGUGCCACAACUACUGAGCCUGCGCUCUAGAACCCGCGAGUCACAACUACUGAAGCCCGUGCACCUAGAGCCCGUGCUCCGCAACAAGAGAAGCCAGCGCAAUGAGAGGCCUGCGCACAGCAAUGAAGAGUAGCCCAUACUCGCUGCAACUAAAACAACAAAUUAGAAAGCCCGCGAGGAGCAACAAAGACCCAACGCAGACAAAAAUAAGAAGUAGCUGCAAGGAGGAGGCUAUUCCCAGGGCUUUGGUCUGUAUGCACUCCCCAUACCUGAAAUUUUAUUGGAACUGUGGAAAUGCGGCAGUGGUUUCACUUUUCACUCUGCCUUCAAUGGGACUCCCUGGAAGAAGUGCUGUGCCAGUGACUGGUGUUUCUCCUGAAUAAAGCAUCUUGGCCUUAAUGACCAGAGGUUUGGAUCCUCUGGUUUCAUCUAAAUUAUACCCUCUGAUUGAUUUAAGAUGUUAUUUUUUCUUUCAUUUCUUUUAAACAGAACUACUGAUCUUUGAAAAAUUUAAAUAGCAUCUGUAUGACAAGUUGGAAGCGAAAGAAAUAUAAUGUGUUAUUUUCCAAUAGGGUCUAUGACUAAGGCAGGGCAGAUAUUAUUAAUUCUAUAGAGGAGGAAACAGAGGAACACAUCCUCCACACCUGGUAAUAUUUAGUGCCCUUCCUGCUGUAUCUGCCUACUUUGCCGGCCUCAUUCCACACCGGUUUUCUCCUGGUCUCUGAGUUUCUCCAGUGACUGACUCUUCCCUCCCACCCCAGGCAACCCACAGCUGAGGAAUGGAAUCUCCCUUUGGCGUCUGCUCCUCUCUUUAUUCUUUUGAAGUAAAUGAAAAGAGGAUAUCUGUUCUGAAUUUUUAAAUGUUAACUUCUAAUGGGUGAGUUCAGAAAGAUAGGCAGGACUGGGAAUUUGUCAGUGCAUUCACUGUAUAGACGGGAUAGCAAAAAACUUGCCUCCAACUGCUCCUGUGAACACGAACACAUCAUGGAAAAUCAAAGGCUGUGGCUACCUCAAGGAUGGUGGUGUGGUCAAGAGGUGGACGGAGAGGUAGAACCCAUCAAAGUUUCUGAGAUACCCAUAGGGUCUUCUUGGGGCAGUUUUCCCAUGCUACUGAAGAAAGUGGAAAUCUGUGCUGCUCCCAGACCCUCCACUCCCCACCAUUUCUAGCUGGACCAAGGAUUCUAUUGGUCUGGACACAGUUGAAAUCAUCGAUAUUGUUAGCAAAUCUUACA